rnacentral:antisense_RNA from 1 species
GCUUAGAUCAAAGAAAGGCUUCCGUGCGGCAACGUUCGGGGGCUUUUUUCUUUUGUUGAUGUGUCUCCUGUUAGUCGU